AUCGAGCGGGACGACGGGCAUUGGGCGCCAUUUUGAAAAGGGAAAAAAAAUCCGCCGCCGGCGGCGGCGGCGGCGGCGGCGGCGGCGGCGGCCGGGCUGAGGUGCUUGGGCGGCAGUUGCGCGGCGGCCGCCUCCUACGUCCGCCGCCGCCUCGGCGCCCGGCCAUGGCAGGAGCCGGAGGCGGCGGCUGCCCUUCGGGCGGCAACGACUUGCAGUGGUGUUUCUCGCAGGUCAAGGGGGCCGUGGACGAGGACGUGGCGGAAGCUGAUGUCAUCUCAACUGUGGAAUUUAGUCACUCUGGAGAUCUUCUUGCAACAGGAGACAAGGGCGGCAGAGUGGUUAUUUUUCAGCGUGAACAAGAGAAUAAAAGCCGCCCUCAUUCCAGGGGGGAAUAUAACGUUUACAGUACCUUUCAAAGUCACGAACCAGAGUUUGACUAUUUGAAGAGUCUAGAAAUUGAAGAAAAAAUCAAUAAAAUUAGGUGGUUACCACGACAGAGUGCUGCUCGUUUUCUGCUCUCGACAAAUGAUAAAACUAUUAAAUUAUGGAAAAUACGUGAACGGGGUAGAAGAGCAGAAGGCUGUAACUUGGAAGACGACGACGGGCGAGCUCGGGAGCCGCUGGGAGCCGCGGCGCUGCGGGUCCCAAUAUUGAAGCCCAUGGACCUUAUGGUAGAAGCAAGUCCACGACGAAUUUUUGCAAAUGCUCACACAUAUCAUAUAAAUUCCAUUUCAGUAAAUAGUGAUCAUGAAACAUAUCUUUCUGCAGAUGACCUGAGAAUUAAUCUAUGGCAUUUAGAAAUCACAGAUAGAAGUUUUAACAUCGUGGACAUCAAGCCGGCCAACAUGGAAGAGCUGACGGAGGUGAUCACGGCGGCCGAGUUCCACCCGCACCAGUGUAACGUGCUCGUCUACAGCAGCAGCAAGGGGACCAUCAGGCUGUGCGACAUGCGCUCCUCCGCCCUGUGCGACCGACACUCCAAGCUGUUUGAAGAGCCGGGAGACCCCAGCAGCAGGUCCUUCUUCUCAGAAAUCAUCUCGUCUGUGUCCGACGUGAAAUUCAGCCACAGCGGGCGGUACAUGAUGACCCGAGACUACCUGUCGGUGAAGGUGUGGGACCUCAACAUGGAGAGCCGGCCUGUCGAGACCCACCAGGUCCACGAGUACCUUCGAAGCAAGCUGUGUUCCCUGUACGAAAAUGACUGCAUCUUUGACAAGUUUGAGUGCUGCUGGAACGGCUCCGACAGUGCAAUCAUGACUGGGUCCUACAACAACUUCUUCAGAAUGUUCGAUAGGACUACAUGGAGGGAUGUUACGCUGGAAGCUUCCAGGGAGAACAGCAAGCCUCGCGCCAGCUUGAAGCCUCGCAGAGUGUGUGCAGGUGGGAAGAGAAAGAAGGACGAGGUGAGCGUGGACAGCCUGGACUUCAGCAAGAAGAUUCUGCACACAGCCUGGCACCCAGCGGAGAACAUCAUUGCCGUGGCUGCCACCAAUAACCUGUACAUAUUCCAGGACAAGGCCAACUAAGGAGGCAGCGGGACCCGCGUCUCGUGCAGAAUCGCGCCUGGUCGUUCGGUGCCAGAGGACAGGCGACAUCCUCUCCGUGAAGAGCAGGGACGCCGUCCUGCCUCCGCACAGACUGCACGGGCUGGCCGCGCGGGUACCCACGGGCUUCUGCUUCAGCAAGAAUGGUGGAACGUGUGCAGUACUUCAAACUCUGAACGUAUGUAUCCACAAACUUCCAUAACUUUUUUGUUUCUGUAGAAAUGGUACAUCUGACACACCAGGUAAGGUCUGGAAAAAGCCUUAACUGCAGCUGCCUCUGAGAAAGAAAAUCCCAAGGAGUAGUAACAGGAUCGCUGCUGAAAAAGUAACACGUGGUUUAAAGUAUGCCUCAAAUUCACUGCAGUUGAAAACUUACGUGCUUUUUAAACCUUUUUAAAAGUACUUUGGGGGAAGGGUAACAUACUUUUUAAAAACUGCUGGAAUUAUACGCAUGCCGAAUUUCAUACUGCAUUUCAAGCCAGCAAAAAUUAAACAAUUGUAAUUAUUAUGUAAUGCCACCAGUACCUUGGUGGUUUACUUUAAAAGUAGGUUGAUACCAGAAAUCAAGACUUCCUAAGACAAAAAAAUACAGAGGUAACAACACUAAGUGAUUGGAGCUUGCGGCCGUGAAAUUUCACACAGGAGCCCGAGACCCAGUCCUCCAGGGGACGGGACAGCUGGGGCUCACGUGCUGCUCUUGAAAUUAAGGUGUAUUUUGGUUACUGGUGAUAUGGAGAUGCAAGAACAAAUGUCUUGUCAACUCAUUCCCCUGAAUUAAUGUUAACAGGAUGCCACGUUAGCUCACAUUACGUUGGAAAUAGAGAAUCAACAAGUACAUUUAUUUUAAUUUAAAGGUAAUUGUUUCACUGCGUAUUGGUUGACGCAGUUCACAAACCUGAGAAUGUGGAACAGAGUUAAGUAUCAGUCAACCCUGGCCCUUAAGGUAAAGCAGUUCUAGUAAGAUGGGGUUGUAUUUACUUGUUCAGCUUUUUUGACCAAGAAGUUUAAUAAAUUUCAGAUGUUUAACCAGAUUUGUACUAUGUAAUUGGACGACUUUUUUCCAUCUUUCCUUUAAGACGUAUUUCCUACCAAACAGGAAACCAGCCUUCUGCCUCUCAGACGGCCCCGGGCAGAAGGCGCACGCGUGGUGGCUGCUGCCGGCCGGGCGGGGGUCCCUGUGUCCAUGGGCUCUUCUCCCCCGAGUCGGGCAGACGCUCCUCAGAGAUGCUGUUGAGAAACGUGUAAUUUAAGAGGACCCGCAGAGCCCGUCCCGGGAAGGCUUCCCUCAGCUGCCCCGCGUCUGAAGAGUGAGGGCUGGGGCUGGGGCCCACGAUCUCCUGCGACCCCGUCAGCGCCCGGUGAGCAACUGAGAGGACUUGCUGGUCCCAUUUCCCUGCUCACCCUCCGGACGGUGACGCCCGCAACCGGAACCUCGGUGUGUAUACAUUUCAGCAUCUAAUUUAGAAGCAUCCAGUUGUGCUCUAACAGCCCUGCAGUGGAUACACUCAAUUCAAGCACAAAGGAGAGGAUUCUACCCAACCUGAAAUGCUCGUCCUCCCGUCACUGUUUUUUGAACUGACCACACGCUGCUAGAAAGAGUCGCCUGCAGGACAGGUGAUAUCGCCAAGUUUAUCAGCACCAACCUCACAAAGACCCCUGCUGAGCAGGGAAGCCCCCGCCCCCAGGAGCCCAGAACUGAGGGGCGUGGGCACCGGAGGGCUGUCCGGGCAGAGGGGGCUGGAGAGGAUGUCUUCAGGAGCCUGCAGUCUAGCACGGGGAGCUUCCUUAGAGCAACUGGCGGGGUGGAUUUUAUUAUCCUGACCACUCUGGAGGCUGGUGAGAAGGGCAGACACCCCUGCUGGGGGCUGGCUGCAGAAAUCCAUCUUGACAUGAAGGCCUAAACCUCAACCCGGCAGGCCCCCACAGCAUCUGACUGCUAGCUCUGGAGAAAGCUCCAGAAAUCAGUACCUCCCUGCGUGAGACUGGCAGAGUCUGACUCUGAAAAGCACUGUGCUGAGAGGGAAGGCAGAACCGAGAGGGAGAGGCUGGGGGCCUGGCCCCGCCAGGGAGCCCUCUCCCCAGGCAGGCAGGACCGUGGGCUGGGGUUCGGGAGGUCGGGAGGACUCUGCUCUCGCCUCCCAGAGCAGGCGGGCCGGCGUCUCCUCUGCCGCGUUCACGGAGCCUGCGGUGGCACCAGCCCACAUCAGAAGGCCAUCUUGACGAUCCAGACGUCCAGUAAGCGGCAGCCACAGAAGCCCAUCCCUCCGCACCAGGACCAGUGAGACCCCC